rnacentral:rRNA from 1 species
CGUACACUCCUACGGGAGGCAGCAGUGGGGAAUAUUGCACAAUGGGCGCAAGCCUGAUGCAGCCAUGCCGCGUGUAUGAAGAAGGCCUUCGGGUUGUAAAGUACUUUCAGCGGGGAGGAAGGCGAUAAGGUUAAUAACCUUGUUGAUUGACGUUACCCGCAGAAGAAGCACCGGCUAACUCCGUGCCAGCAGCCGCGGUAAUACGGAGGGUGCAAGCGUUAAUCGGAAUUACUGGGCGUAAAGCGCACGCAGGCGGUCUGUCAAGUCGGAUGUGAAAUCCCCGGGCUCAACCUGGGAACUGCAUUCGAAACUGGCAGGCUAGAGUCUUGUAGAGGGGGGUAGAAUUCCAGGUGUAGCGGUGAAAUGCGUAGAGAUCUGGAGGAAUACCGGUGGCGAAGGCGGCCCCCUGGACAAAGACUGACGCUCAGGUGCGAAAGCGUGGGGAGCAAACAGGAUUAGAUACCCGGGUAGUCCCAU